UAUCCUGUCUGAAUAUGGGGGGACCAUCCUCCAAGGCUAAAUACUCCUGACUGACCGAUAGUGAACCAGUACCGUGAGGGAAAGGCGAAAAGAACCCCGGCGAGGGGAGUGAAAAAGAACCUGAAACCGUGUACGUACAAGCAGUGGGAGCACAGAGCAAUCUGUGUGACUGCGUACCUUUUGUAUAAUGGGUCAGCGACUUAUAUUCUGUAGCAAGGUUAACCGAAUAGGGGAGCCGAAGGGAAACCGAGUCUUAACUGGGCGUUAAGUUGCAGGGUAUAGACCCGAAACCCGGUGAUCUAGCCAUGGGCAGGUUGAAGGUUGGGUAACACUAACUGGAGGACCGAACCGACUAAUGUUGAAAAAUUAGCGGAUGACUUGUGGCUGGGGGUGAAAGGCCAAUCAAACCGGGAGAUAGCUGGUUCUCCCCGAAAGCUAUUUAGGUAGCGCCUCGUGAAUUCAUCUCCGGGGGUAGAGCACUGUUUCGGCAAGGGGGUCAUCCCGACUUACCAACCCGAUGCAAACUGCGAAUACCGGAGAAUGUUAUCACGGGAGACACACGGCGGGUGCUAACGUCCGUCGUGAAGAGGGAAACAACCCAGACCGCCAGCUAAGGUCCCAAAGUCAUGGUUAAGUGGGAAACGAUGUGGGAAGGCCCAGACAGCCAGGAUGUUGGCUUAGAAGCAGCCAUCAUUUAAAGAAAGCGUAAUAGCUCACUGGUCGAGUCGGCCUGCGCGGAAGAUGUAACGGGGCUAAACCAUGCACCGAAGCUGCGGCAGCGACACUGUGUGUUGUUGGGUAGGGGAGCGUUCUGUAAGCCUGUGAAGGUGUGCUGUGAGGCAUGCUGGAGGUAUCAGAAGUGCGAAUGCUGACAUAAGUAACGAUAAAGCGGGUGAAAAGCCCGCUCGCCGGAAGACCAAGGGUUCCUGUCCAACGUUAAUCGGGGCAGGGUGAGUCGACCCCUAAGGCGAGGCCGAAAGGCGUAGUCGAUGGGAAACAGGUUAAUAUUCCUGUACUUGGUGUUACUGCGAAGGGGGGACGGAGAAGGCUAUGUUGGCCGGGCGACGGUUGUCCCGGUUUAAGCGUGUAGGCUGGUUUUCCAGGCAAAUCCGGAAAAUCAAGGCUGAGGCGUGAUGACGAGGCACUACGGUGCUGAAGCAACAAAUGCCCUGCUUCCAGGAAAAGCCUCUAAGCAUCAGGUAACAUCAAAUCGUACCCCAAACCGACACAGGUGGUCAGGUAGAGAAUACCAAGGCGCUUGAGAGAACUCGGGUGAAGGAACUAGGCAAAAUGGUGCCGUAACUUCGGGAGAAGGCACGCUGAUAUGUAGGUGAAGUCCCUCGCGGAUGGAGCUGAAAUCAGUCGAAGAUACCAGCUGGCUGCAACUGUUUAUUAAAAACACAGCACUGUGCAAACACGAAAGUGGACGUAUACGGUGUGACGCCUGCCCGGUGCCGGAAGGUUAAUUGAUGGGGUCAGCGCAAGCGAAGCUCUUGAUCGAAGCCCCGGUAAACGGCGGCCGUAACUAUAACGGUCCUAAGGUAGCGAAAUUCCUUGUCGGGUAAGUUCCGACCUGCACGAAUGGCGUAAUGAUGGCCAGGCUGUCUCCACCCGAGACUCAGUGAAAUUGAACUCGCUGUGAAGAUGCAGUGUACCCGCGGCAAGACGGAAAGACCCCGUGAACCUUUACUAUAGCUUGACACUGAACAUUGAGCCUUGAUGUGUAGGAUAGGUGGGAGGCUUUGAAGUGUGGACGCCAGUCUGCAUGGAGCCGACCUUGAAAUACCACCCUUUAAUGUUUGAUGUUCUAACGUGGACCCGUGAUCCGGGUUGCGGACAGUGUCUGGUGGGUAGUUUGACUGGGGCGGUCUCCUCCUAAAGAGUAACGGAGGAGCACGAAGGUUGGCUAAUCCUGGUCGGACAUCAGGAGGUUAGUGCAAUGGCAUAAGCCAGCUUGACUGCGAGCGUGACGGCGCGAGCAGGUGCGAAAGCAGGUCAUAGUGAUCCGGUGGUUCUGAAUGGAAGGGCCAUCGCUCAACGGAUAAAAGGUACUCCGGGGAUAACAGGCUGAUACCGCCCAAGAGUUCAUAUCGACGGCGGUGUUUGGCACCUCGAUGUCGGCUCAUCACAUCCUGGGGCUGAAGUAGGUCCCAAGGGUAUGGCUGUUCGCCAUUUAAAGUGGUACGCGAGCUGGGUUUAGAACGUCGUGAGACAGUUCGGUCCCUAUCUGCCGUGGGCGCUGGAGAACUGAGGGGGGCUGCUCCUAGUACGAGAGGACCGGAGUGGACGCAUCACUGGUGUUCGGGUUGUCAUGCCAAUGGCACUGCCCGGUAGCUAAAUGCGGAAGAGAUAAGUGCUGAAAGCAUCUAAGCACGAAACUUGCCCCGAGAUGAGUUCUCCCUGACCCUUUAAGGGUCCUGAAGGAACGUUGAAGACGACGACGUUGAUAGGCCGGGUGUGUAAGCGCAGCGAUGCGUUGAGCUAACCGGUACUAAUGAACCGUGAGGCUUAACCUUACAACGCCGAAGGUGUUU
rnacentral:rRNA from 1 species